AGAGAGAGAGAGAGAGAGAGAGAUGGAGGAGGAAGGGGGAGUUGUUGAGAAGAAGAUAACUAUUGGAGUCUGCGUGAUGGAAAAGAAGGUGAAAUGCGGAUUGGAGGUGUUAUCGGCUCCAAUGGGACGAAUUCUAGAGAGAUUACAGGCAUUUGGUGAAUUUGAGAUUAUACAUUUUGGGGACAAAGUCAUUCUCGAAGAUCCAAUUGAGAGCUGGCCAAUAUGUGAUUGCUUGAUUGCCUUCUAUUCCA
rnacentral:misc_RNA from 1 species